rnacentral:rRNA from 1 species
AUGUUCGUUUGUGAUGAUUUAUCAAGGCUGGUAUGGAACUUCUGGUGGGGAUCCAAACAGGGACAACGCAAGGUACAUUGGUUGUUAUGGGAUAAGAUCAUGGAGCCUAAGUGCAGAGGUGGCUUGGGGUUCUGGGAUUUUUGUCUAUUUAAUCAAGCCUUGUUAGCAAGGCAAGCGUGGCGUCUCAUUACACGGCCGGAUUCACUGUGUGCCCAGGUUCUCAAAGCAAGGUACUGCCCUAAUGGCAAUUUUGAAGAUAUUGUGUUUUCAGGUAAUGCCUCGCCGAAUUGGCACGCUAUCCACUAUAACCUCGAACUUCUCAACAAGGGCUUGAUUUGGAGGGUAGGAAAUGGGGAACACAUUCGCAUUUGGUGGGACCCUUGGCUACCCCACCCUUUCUCCUUCAAGCCGGUGUCACCGAGAGGUACAUGCUGCUUGAGAUGCGUGGCGAGCUACUGGAUGAUGCCGGGAGGUGGAAUGGAGAUCCCCUACGACGCCACUUCCUUCCCAUGGAUGUUGCGGUUAUCAUGA